rnacentral:rRNA from 1 species
UACGAUGAGGCGCAAGCGUUGUCCGGAAUUAUUGGGCGUAAAGGGCUCGUAGGCGGCCAACUAAGUCAUACGUGAAAUCCCUCGGCUUAACCGGGGAACUGCGUCUGAUACUGGAUGGCUUGAGUUCGGGAGAGGGAUGCGGAAUUCCGGGUGUAGUGGUGAAAUGCGUAGAUAUCCGGAGGAACACCAGUGGCGAAGGCGACUUUCUGGCCUGUUCUUGACGCUGAGGCGCGAAAGCUAGGGGAGCAAACGGGG